rnacentral:tRNA from 1 species
ACGCUUGUAGUUCAGUUGGAUAGAACAAGGGACUUCUAAUCCCUAGGUCGCAAGUUCGAGCCUUGCCAAGCGUGCCA